rnacentral:misc_RNA from 1 species
CUCGCGCUAGUUUUCAUCGGACUUCGAGCGACGGAGAGAGAAGACGGAAGAACGGUGUGGAGAUCAGAAGCAUAGGAGUCGAAUGGACGUUUACAAUAUAGUAGGCCUGAAAUAACUGAGCAGUCGAUCUAGUGACCAAAGACAGCUCCAAGCUACUAGAAGAGAGAGAGAUGGUGGAAUCCGGAUUGGUCUUCAAGCGUUAGGGAUGGCGUUGUUUUCUUAGCGUCAAGAAACGUAAUUAAACCUGUGUAUUUUACUAGGGCUUUUCAACCCAAGAGUUCAGUUCUAUCACGAUGAUGCCUGUGUCCACAACAUGAAACAAAUUCAAGCACAUCCUCUCCUCAAGGCUGAAAAAGACAUGUACACUUUAACCAAAUCGUUCUCAAUUACUUGUUUACCUUACAGUAUUCACUGAUUAUUUUAUAUUGUGCAGAAGUUCUGUUUGUAGGUUAAAAAACGAAACUAUAUUGGUGGUUAGUAAAAACUGAAGACAAAUACAAACAAACUUAACAAACUAAAGGUGCUGACGAUAGAAUUUUGUUUUUCUACUUGACAGUUAAGAGAAUUCAACCUAGAUAAAGUGAUUUAUUGGAUCUUUGAUAUGAAUCCUAAAAGCACAGUUAUGUGUGUUGUUUGCCUGUUGUUGAGAGCACUGGUCGUCAGUACUAUAUUAUGGUUGGCUGUUUACGACUUGGGUGCCAGUGCACUGAAAGCCCACAUUCCAGGGGACAUCAUCUUUGGAGGGCUUUUCCCUAUUCAUAAGAAAAACGCAAAAAGCAAAUGUGGUCCAAUUAAUAAGGAUCGUGGCAUUCAAAGAACGGAAGCAAUGUUAUUCGCCAUCGACAAGAUAAAUCAGGAUCCUUCCAUUCUAGGGGACAUCAAACUUGGAGCUAUCAUUCUAGACACAUGUUCCAGUGACAGUUACGCCCUCAACCAAUCCUUGGAGUUUAUCAGGGCGUCCAUCAAUACCGUAGACUCUUCAGCUUUCGAGUGUCAAGACGGAACUCAUCCCAAACUAAAGUUCAGUAAUAAAGCAAUUAGGGGGGUGAUAGGGGGCUCUUACAGUGAGGUUUCUCUUCAAGUUGCGAAUCUACUUAGACUCUUCCGAAUACCUCAGGUCAGUCCAGCGUCUACUGGUACCUCACUUAGCGACAAAAGCAGAUACGAUUUCUUUGCUCGAACUGUUCCUCCAGAUACCUUCCAGGCUGUGGCUCUAGUAGACCUUGUGCAACUAUUUAACUGGUCCUAUGUUUCACUUGUGUCCUCAGAAGGUCAAUACGGUGACUCAGGAAUGAAAGCAUUCCAACAAGAAGCGCGUGCUAGGAAUAUAUGCAUUGCCGUGAACGACAAGGUUCCUCAUUCGGCCUCAAAAGCAAAAUUUGAUGAGAUUUACAGAAACUUGUUAACUAAAUCUAAUGCUAGAGGAGUAGUGCUUUUCACAAGAGCAGAAGAUUCGCGAGGAAUUCUUGAGGCUGCCAAACGAACCGGUUCCGUUAACACGUUCGCUUGGGUGGCUAGUGAUGGUUGGGGAACACAGGACAAACUAGUUGAAGGACUUGAGGCCGUUGCUGAAGGUGCCAUUACAGUCGAGUUGCAGUCCAAAGAAAUAAAUGAAUUUGAUUGGUAUAUGAAGAAUCUGACUCCCUUAAACAACCGAAGAAACCCUUGGUUUGAGGAGUAUUGGGAAGAUGUGUUUUCUUGUACGCUCCCUCAUAAUGUAAACCAUCAGAUUAACAACACUGUACUUGUAUGUUCGACUAAUCUAAGACUAGACGAAAGCGUUGGUUAUAAACAAGAGUCUAAAGUUCAGUUCGUCGUAGAUGCAGUCUACUCUAUUGCCCAUGCCCUCCACAGAGUCUGGGAAAACUUGUGUGGCCCUUAUGGAGAAGGUUAUUGUGAAGAAAUGAGGGAAUUAGACGGUGGUGUCCUCUAUCGAGAUUAUUUGCUUAAUGUUUCAUUUAUUGAUUUAGCGGGAAGUGAGGUGAAGUUUAACCACCAGGGAGACGGAUUAGGACGCUACAUCAUUUACAAUUAUCAGAGAAUAGGUAAUUCAUCGCUGUUUGAAUAUAAAAGACUAGGACGCUGGCUUGACGGACUGCAUCUUGACCUAGACGAGGUGGUAUGGAACCAGGGUAGGAGACAAAUCCCAGUGUCCAUCUGCAGUGCUCCUUGUGGAGUAGGAGAGGUAAAAAAGAUGCAAGUAGGAGACAUUUGUUGUUGGAUCUGUUCGAGCUGCAAACCAUGGGAAUACGUUCUAGACGAGUUCACUUGCGCGGACUGCGGCCACGGACGUUGGCCGUACGCGGACAAGGCAAGCUGCUAUGACAUAACUCAGCAAUAUAUGCGGUGGAACUCGUAUUUUGCCAUUGUACCUAUUGGAGUAUCUUGCCUGGGCAUCUUUCUGACAAGCACUGUUAUUAUUGUUUUCCUCCAGAACAACGACACACCGAUUGUCAAAGCAUCAGGGCGUGAACUGAGUUAUAUGUUGCUCACUGGUAUCCUGAUUUGUUUCUUUAUGACCUUCGUCUUGCUAGCUAAGCCCAGCAUGGUGAUCUGUGGGCUACAACGUUUCGGUGUGGGCUUCGGCUUCUCUAUAAUCUAUAGCUCGCUAUUAACCAAGACGAACCGUAUUUCUCGAAUCUUUGACAGCGCUCGCAAGUCUGCUAGUAGGCCUAGUUUCAUCAGUCCCAAGUCCCAAGUGGUCAUCACGUUAAUAUUCAUUGCAGUUCAGGUAAUCGGAACGAUGGUGUGGUUUGUGAUAGAGCCACCGGGGACCAAACAAUAUUACCCGGACGGAAAAAGAAACCAGGUUAUACUGAAGUGCAGAAUAAAAGAUUCCAGCUUCCUGAUAUCACUAGCGUAUAACAUGUUUCUAAUAACUAUCUGCACAGUGUACGCAGUAAAGACACGAAAAAUCCCAGAAAACUUUAACGAAUCCAAGUUCAUAGGAUUCACUAUGUACACAACUUGUAUAGUAUGGCUAGCAUUUGUACCCAUCUAUUUCGGCACAGGAAAUUCUUUCGAGGUUCAAAUUACCACCCUCUGCGUAUCGAUUUCGUUAAGCGCCUUUGUGGCGUUGUUCUGUCUGUUCUCGCCCAAGGUCUACAUAAUUGUGUUUCACCCUGACAAAAACGUACGCAAGCUCACGAUGAACAGUGCCACUUAUAAAAAAGCUCCGACAAGUAGUACGUGCGGUACAACCAAUCAUGGCAGUUCAGCAGAGCAAGUGAAACUGACAGUCCAAACCACACCCUCAAAAACUCAGACAGAAAGUGAUCGUGACAGUUUGGCUUCUUUGUGAACAACAAACACGCGUAAUAAAUGUGCUUCCGAAGAGAGAGAGAUCUGUACGAAAGUAAGAUUAGUGGAUGCGAAGAGUAAAUAACAAAACAGUGUUAUAAAACCUUGAUGUUAGUGAUAACUUUCUUCAUAAAAUUAACAAAAGACCGGAGGUUUUUAUGAUACAUCUUGUCCGUCAGAGAUUUUCUGAUAAAACGCUUUCGUUCUAACGCUAUUACAUUCUAUCGGAAUGUAGAUUCUUUUUCAGUUCAACCAAAAGGGGCUCACCACACGGCAGACAUUAUAAUGUUUAAUGUUAUGAUAUUCAAACAUAAGAUAUUUUUAAUUAUUUCCUAAUAUCAGUGGUUACUCAUGUUAUGUCAUCCUCCAAGUCUUCCCCUUUGGAAUUCAAGCACGUAAUCCAAUAGAUGAAAAAAGCCAGUGAAGAAGCUUCUUGCCACCAAUGAUGUCUGUAACAACGAGAUCUAUAAGAUGUGAAUGAGGUCUCGUAAAAACCUUGGAUAUUUGUACUAAUCCUUAAGGAAGGUACUCAUUUUAAGCCCAACUUUGUCUCUCUUGUUUCAUCUUGAAUAUGUCUCACUUAAAUACUUUGGCGUAAAUACUUUGAAAUAAUAGACAAGGCUUUAUCGUUUGAAGUCUUUAACAUUUUUAUAGAAUGAAAUAUGUGAUUAAUUUGACUGAGCACUACGUUCCAGUAAAUGAUUUAGGUUUUUAGAUGGCGCUCUUUAGAUUACUGAAUCAAUUGAAAUACUGUGCGAAAUUAAAAGUUUGUAACUAAAUGCUUACUACUUUAUCAUUCAUAGAGUAAACCUAGUAGUAGGAUGCAAAUGAUUGCUUACUACUUUAUCAUUCAUAGAGUAAACCUAAUAGUAGGAUGCAAAUGGUUGCUUACUACUUUAUCAUUCAUAGAGUGAACCUAAUAGUAGGAUGCAAAUGUGUUUUUUUUAAGAUGGGUUCUCUAAUUUUUAGAUUUUCAAACUUUUUUAUGUCUUGUAACGGUGAAGACAGUGAAGAUUUAUGUGUAAUGACAAUAAACAUUUGUCUUUUGUGAAUAAAAUGGGGCUCAUUUGCAAAAGACCAUCUGUUUUUGUCACGCACGAGGCCUAUAAGCUGCAUAUAAUUACGUUUUAAAAGCUUAUUGAACAUUAAAUCUGGAGAUCUAUGUGAUUUCGUAAUGCCUCUCCCUCUCUUUUUAAAUCCAAUUUAUUGGCUAUGAGGACAGGUAAUUUUGUACUGAAAAGGAACCUGGGCUCAUAAGGUUGUUUGACAAAAUACAUUUAAAGUCAAAAUAAAACUAAAUGAGAAGAAUUCUCGAAGAGUGCUUGAAUGUAAAUAUUGUAAUUAUAUAUAACUGUUCUGUCCGUGUACAACAACGUUCGUGGACAUCACAUGGUGCGUGCUCCAUUGAUGUUUCCCAGCACAUCAUUUUGGGCUUUUGUUGUUUGUAUCUGUCAAUAUAGGCAGCAUCAUAUUAUUUAGGUUUCCUACACAACCAGAGACGUUCACUCGCACAUCCUUUUGGCCUUUGUUGUCACGUUACUUUGUUGACUGUACUUGUGUAUACAAUCGGUAGUGUAUUAUUUAGCUGUACACAUCUAUACAACCAGGAAAGUUUACCAGCAUAUAAUCUGGUCUUUGUUGUAACAUUACGUUGUUGCUGUAUUGUGUAUACAACAAGCAGUGUAUUACUUGGUCGUACGUUACGUUAGUUAUGUUGACUGUAAUUGUGUAUACAAUAAGCAGUGUAUUAUUUGGUUGUACCUGUCUAUACAUCCAACAGUGUUUCUCAGCACUUCCUCUAGUCUUGUUGUCACGUUAGUUAUGUUGACUGUACGUCUAUGAAAUCAGUAACGUUUACCAGAACAUUCUCUGGUGUUUGCUGUAACGUCACUUUUUUAGAUGUACCUGCCUCUACAACCAGCAGGGUAUUGUUAUAACGAGAGUCAUUAGAAAAUAGAUUGUAAUCAAACGUUAAUUCAUUUCACGAUUUUUGUGAUAAUUAAGUUGAUUGAAUAGAGUUACCACAUUAUGUCAUAAGAGCCUGGGCCAUCAAUCGUAUUAUAUCGGAAAAGGUUGAAUGUCUGUAGUUUUUGGUUAAGAAGGUAUUAUAUGUAGCUAAACAGGAAAUAAUAAAAACAUGUUCUUUGGCUGUGAA